CCUACGGGAGGCAGCAGUGGGGAAUAUUGCACAAUGGGGGAAACCCUGAUGCAGCGACGCCGCGUGCGUGAAGCAGUAAUUCGUUAUGUAAAGCUCUAUCAGCAGGGAAGAAAAUGACGGUACCUGAGUAAGAAGCCCCGGCUAACUACGUGCCCGCAGCCGCGGUAAUACGUAGGGGGCAAGCGUUAUCCGGAUUUACUGGGUGUAAAGGGAGCGUAGACGGCAGUGCAAGUCUGGAGUGAAAGGCGGGGGCGCAACCCCCGGACUGCUCUGGAAACUGUACGGCUGGAGUGCAGGAGAGGUAAGUGGAAUUCCUAGUGUAGCGGUGAAAUGCGUAGAUAUUAGGAGGAACACCAGUGGCGAAGGCGGCUUACUGGACUGUAACUGACGUUGAGGCUCGAAAGCGUGGGGAGCAAACAGGAUUAGAUACCCGGGUAGUC
rnacentral:rRNA from 1 species